rnacentral:rRNA from 1 species
GACGAACGCUGGCGGCGUGCUUAACACAUGCAAGUCGAACGGAAAGGCCCUGCUUUUGUGGGGUGCUCGAGUGGCUAACGGGUGAGUAACACGUGAGUAACCUGCCCUUGACUUUGGGAUAACUUCAGUAAACUGGGGCUAAUACCGGAUAGGAGCUCCUGCUGCAUGGUGGGGGUUGUAAAGUUUCGGCGGUUGGGGAUGGACUCGCGGCUUAUCAGCUUGUUGGUGGGGUAGUGGCUUACCAAGGCUUUGACGGGUAGCCGGCCUGAGAGGGUGACCGGCCACAUUGGGACUGAGAUACGGCCCAGACUCCUACGGGAGGCAGCAGUGGGGAAUAUUGCACAAUGGGCGGAAGCCUGAUGCAGCAACGCCGCGUGCGGGAUGACGGCCUUCGGGUUGUAAACCGCUUUCGCCUGUGACGAAGCGUGAGUGACGGUAAUGGGUAAAGAAGCACCGGCUAACUACGUG